UGCCUCACCAGCCAAGCUCGCCUCACAGAGAUUACACUGCAAGGCAAAAUUAUUCACCAGCAUGGAAAUGACUGAAGAACGAGCAAAUAGUCCCAUAGCUUGGAUCAUCCACAUUUCUUCCGACUAAAACCCUGAAAACACAAUGUCCAAGGCUCUGGGAACACUCUGUAUUUGACUCGCGCCAAGUGGAACGUAUUACUAGAUUACACAUAUGAUCUUCGUUAUCUGGGAUAUUUAGCCUUUGGCACAGGACCCCUAGAAGAUGACAUGCCAGAAUCACUUACUGUGCACUGGAAGAAGGAAGAACAGCCUCUCUCUGAAUGGCAUAACAUUACUUCUAUGUAAACAAGGGUAGGAAACACCUUGGAAACUUGCUGAAUCUUCAGUUUUUACCUUCCACUUCUCCAACCAUAAAAGCCACAUAACAAAGUUGAGUAGAGGUAGCAUUUUAGGAACUUCCUUUUCAGGUUCUUAAGGGAUUUAUUCAUAAAACUUUCUAAAAAAUA